rnacentral:rRNA from 1 species
GUGGGGAAUAUUGGGCAAUGGGCGAAAGCCUGACCCAGCAACGCUGCGUGAAGGAAGAAGGUUUUCGGAUUGUAAACUUCUGUCCUCAGGGAAGAAGGAAGUGACGGUACCUGAGGAGGAAGCCCCGGCUAACUACGUGCCAGCAGCCGCGGUAAUACGUAGGGGGCGAGCGUUGUCCGGAAUGACUGGGCGUACAGGGCGCGUAGACGGCUGUCUAAGUCUGGAGUGAAAGUCCUGCUUUCAAGGUGGGAAUUGCUUUGGAGACUGGAGGGCUUGAGUGCGGAAGAGGUAAGUGGAAUUCCCAGUGUAGCGGUGAAAUGCGUAGAGAUUGGGAGGAACACCAGUGGCGAAGGCGACUUACUGGGCCGUAACUGACGUUGAUGCGCGAAAGCGUGGGGAGCGAACAGGAUUAGAAACCCGAGUAGUCC